AUUGAACGCUGGCGGCAUGCUUUACACAUGCAAGUCGAACGGCAGCGCGGGCUUCGGCCUGGCGGCGAGUGGCGAACGGGUGAGUAAUACAUCGGAACGUGCCCAGUAGUGGGGGAUAGCUCGGCGAAAGCCGGAUUAAUACCGCAUACGACCUGAGGGUGAAAGCGGGGGAUCUUCGGACCUCGCGCUAUUGGAGCGGCCGAUGGCAGAUUAGCUAGUUGGUGGGGUAAAGGCCUACCAAGGCGACGAUCUGUAGCUGGUCUGAGAGGACGACCAGCCACACUGGGACUGAGACACGGCCCAGACUCCUACGGGAGGCAGCAGUGGGGAAUAUUGGACAAUGGGCGAAAGCCUGAUCCAGCAAUGCCGCGUGUGUGAUGAAGGCCUUCGGAUUGUAAAGCACUUCUGGCUGGAACGAAAAGGACUGUGCCAAUACCACGGUUCGAUGACGGUACCAGCAGAAUAAGCACCGGCUAACUACGUG
rnacentral:rRNA from 1 species